UACGGGGGGGGCAAGCGUUGUUCGGAAUUACUGGGCGUAAAGGGCUCGUAGGCGGCCAACUAAGUCAGACGUGAAAUCCCUCGGCUUAACCGGGGAACUGCGUCUGAUACUGGAUGGCUUGAGUUCGGGAGAGGGAUGCGGAAUUCCAGGUGUAGCGGUGAAAUGCGUAGAUAUCAGGAGGAACACCAAUAGCGAAGGCAGCUCGCUGGGACGGUACUGACGCUAAGGCGCGAAAGCGUGGGGAGCGAACAGG
rnacentral:rRNA from 1 species